rnacentral:lncRNA from 1 species
UCACAAGUCAUGUACAUGGAGAUGUCAAACUAAUAAUGUAGGCACAUGUAGAGACAUGUGCUAGGACUGACUCAACAUGAGAAGUAGUUCUCUCUUUACACAACAUGUACACUUUAUCCUUAGACCUGAGAUUGUCGCAUGUACUCAAGAUGUGGAUCGACUUACUUAGGGGCUAUCAAACGCUACACCGUGAUAGGGUAGUUAAAAAGGUAGCUUUCG